AUACUUACCUGGACGGGGUCAGUGGGCGAUCAACAAGGUCCAUGGCCUAGGUUGGUGACCUCCAUUGCACUUUGGAAGGGUGCCUGCCUAAGGUCCGCACAAGUGGCCAAACCUACGUUAUAAUUUAUGGCAGUGGGGCCUGCGUCUGCGCGGCCUCUAC
rfam:Capsicum annuum cultivar Zunla-1 chromosome 5, whole genome shotgun sequence